rnacentral:lncRNA from 1 species
AAUUGACUAUGAAUUUGUAGUCAAUAAUUUUCUAAAUUUUGAGGAUUAUGAGUUUUGGUAUUUUUAUUUCGAUUUAGAUGCUCUGAACCAGUGUUUAUUUUAUUAUUUAAUGGAUGAUGAAAUUGGGUCAUUUUAUUAUAUAUUAUUUGUGAUGGAUUUGAAAGCUGAAUGUAAUUGUUAGCUUCGUAUUAUCAUGAGCUAUACCUCUCGACAACAUAGAUGUGUUCUAUUGUGGAUUUGGGACAUGACGGGUUUUUUUCUCUUUCUUUGGUGAGAGGAGAGGUUAAUUCUUCCAUUCUAACUUAUUUCGGAUUGAAGCCUGGGUAAUAGUGGCAUUUUUGCCAAUCACAUAGCACAUUCUUAAAAUGUUGAACCUUUUUCAAUGGCCCUUGCUAUAUCAAGCCAUCAAAUGGUCCAAUGAGCAUUAAACUACCUUGAACUAGUAACUAGAUUCCUCUUCACUCUCCCGUACCAUUUGUCCCUUAACAUAUUAUGCUAUUAUAGAAAUCUCCUAAGAUAUUUUCUCCCUAAAAACCUUACUUUUCUAAAGUUGUACCCUUCAAGAUAACGUCCCUUGCACCAAUCUUUUGUAUUUUGCCUCCUAAAAUCCAACUUUUUCUACAUUGACUACACAAUCUUUAAAUUUAUCUUAAACUUAGAUUAAAACCGAUAGAUCUCCCUCAAUUGAUUCAGGUGCCAUGCAUUUUUUUUGCCAUAAUUGCUCUCAUUCUUCAAAUCCCUUCCAUAUCUUAAACCCCAGCCUUCCACUUUAAACAAAAGACAAGGAUCAACUGUUUAACUCAACACAAACCCUCCAAUUUGGUAGCCUUAAAGGUUGUGC